GACGAACGCUGGCGGCGUGCUUAACACAUGCAAGUCGAACGGAAAGGCCCUGCUUUUGUGGGGUGCUCGAGUGGCGAACGGGUGAGUAACACGUGAGUAACCUGCCCUUGACUUUGGGAUAACUUCAGGAAACUGGGGCUAAUACCGGAUAGGAGCUCCUGCUGCAUGGUGGGGGUUGGAAAGUUUCGGCGGUUGGGGAUGGACUCGCGGCUUAUCAGCUUGUUGGUGGGGUAGUGGCUUACCAAGGCUUUGACGGGUAGCCGGCCUGAGAGGGUGACCGGCCACCUUGGGACUGAGAUGCGGCCCAGGCUCCUACGGGAGGCCGCAGUGGGGAAUAUUGCACAAUGGGCGGAAGCCUGAUGCAGCAACGCCGCGUGCGGGAUGACGGCCUUCGGGUUGUAAACCGCUUUCGCCUGUGACGAAGCGUGAGUGACGGUAAUGGGUACAGAAGCACCGGCUAACUACGUG
rnacentral:rRNA from 1 species